rnacentral:lncRNA from 1 species
CCCUGUAUCCAGUUACAGUAAUAAAUUCUCUUCUUUCCUAGUUUGUCUGCUUCUUGUUAUUGGGCCUCGAGAAAAUGCAGCCGGACCUGGCUUGGUUCCAGGAACAAUAAGAAUAAAGCAAUCCAUGAUGAUUUUGAUGAAGUAGUCCACGAACCAUACUUGGCAAAAUUCUGAUGAAAACACCUCAUAUUACUGUGCCAUUAAUUUAAUGCCCACCAUGGAGAACUCUAGGACAUCUGGAUUGUCUCUGUUAAGGUAAUUACUCAAAAGUGACCGGUCCUUCCCUCCCACCUAAGAUCACAGUUUGCUUUCCCAUAUGAGUUCAUUGUUAAUCUCCAGAGUAUUCUU